ensembl:lncRNA
UUCUUGCGGGAGAUCCCUGCCUACCUGAGGCCUUCUGAAAUCAGAGACAAAUGGGAACAGCUGCUGGCAUACCAAAGUGUGGCACUGAAGGAGGCAGUCUGCAGGCGUAGCCGGGGUGGCAAGAACAUGGUCUGCCAAGGAACUUCUUCUGGAUACGUCAUAAAGCAGGAAAAGGAUGCUGUUCUUGAUAUUGUCAGUGGAGAAGUCCAGUCUGGGGCCAAAACCACAAAAGUGAAGCCUUACAAAACCAGAAAACCAAGCAGAAAGAUCUUCAGCUGAUAAUGCCCUCUUUCCUCAGUAUGCAGACAGCAUUUUCCUUGAUAGAUGUAUGCAUUCCUGUGGAAAAGACUCCACCAUUCUGCUGACAUCUGAUGCUUGACAGGUCAAUGCAUUUUGAAGCAGAUGGGGCAAUAAUUCAUGAAAAAUAGUGUUUAGAAAAGAAAAGAAAGAAAGGCUGAAAGAUGACCCAUUACUAGUCACGGCACGUUGCUCUCACUGAUUGGAAAGCAGUCACACACCACCAAGCAUUUAUUCUGUUUACUGAGAUGUAACACCAAGGAACAGCAAUUCACACCUGCAGUGAAGUUGUUAUACUUCCCAUUUCUUUUCUUUAUUCUAUUUUUAUCCUUCAUUUUUCCUCUUUUAUUUUGCCUUUUUUUCUUUUCUUUUUUUUUUCUUUUUUUAAUCUUCUCUGCCUCUCCUCCUUCCACUUCUGAGUUGGGUAUCAGUGCCAGUCUUAACAUUGACCUUAAACCUGAAAUGAAGUAUAAAUUGCCAGUGGUACACUCUCAGCUGUCAAAUCAUGGUAACUGAUGAUGUGUCUUUUGAGUGAUCAGCUUAAGUGUCUCUGGCUAAUAUGUGAAGUAUGUAUACAAAUGCAUAUGUAUAUAUGUGUAUAUACUUACUCACAUAUAUAUAGCUUAGAUCCAGACCACUUAUAUCAUGGGCUGUGAAAGAGAGAGAACUCCACUCUUACGCACAACCUGUUGUGUGAUAUCUUAGUACUCUCCAAAAAUAGGGCAUAUGACUGGAGUCCAUUGAGAGACAAAGCCACAAAAUAAUCAGUAUGUGUGAAUCAGUGAAAAAUCACUGAUUAAUUCACAGGAUCAUCGAAUCACAGAAUAUUUGAGACUGAGGACUGUUUUUGUUUAGUUUUGGUUUUCAGGAUAUUUGUACUAGACAAGAUAAAACAUAGCUGGAAAAUUUGAAGUGUUGUAAUAAUCUAGAAGCACUCCUUAGGAAAAAAAAGAGAAAAAAAGUGGGUAGGUAAAAUAGCUCUCUGAGGCAGCACAAACAUUCAUAUAAGGAUUCCAGAAUACUUUUACUUUGCUUGUAAGACUAUAACCUGAAUAAGUAAAUCUAGGAAAUAUCCCACGUGCCCUGUACUCAUCACAAAUCAGUCUCAGGGGCUUAAAAUUACAAUUCUUACCUCUACAAACAUGACACUUAACAAUAUAAUGUCUCUCAGAGGAAAAGGUGGGCAUAGAAAUGGAAUUGCUAAAAUGAUUUUACUGUUGAAAGAAAUGGAGGCCUAGGUGGUAAGAAAAUACUACUUUUAAAUUGGUCUCAAGUGUUAAAUAAUGGAUAUAUGUGUAUAUGGGGUAUUCAGAUGUUUUUGAUUUUUAUGCUGAAGAUUAAAAUUUCCAUUAGUAUUCCACCUCUUCAGUUUUGCCUGGGGACUGUUAAUUAUAUUUCUGAAAUUGCAACUAAAUAAAAACCGAACAAAAAAUAACAACCGGAU